rnacentral:rRNA from 1 species
GAUGAACGCUGGCGGCGUGCCUAAUACAUGCAAGUCGAACGAAGCACAUUAGUGCUUAGUGGCGAACGGGUGAGUAAAAGAUAAGUAACCUGCCCUUGACAGGGGGAUAACGAUCGGAAACGAACGCUAAGACCGCAUAGGUAAUAAAACUGCAUGGUUUUAUUAUUAAAUAUCCUACGGGAUAGGUGAAGGAUGGACUUAUCACGCAUUAGCUAGUUGGAGAGGUAACGGCUCCCCAAGGCGACGAUGCGUAGCCGGCCUGAGAGGGCGGACGGCCACACUGGGACUAAGACACGGCCCAGACUCCUACGGGAGGCAGCAGUAGGGAAUUUUCGGCAAUGGGCGAAAGCCUGACCGAGCAACGCCGCGUGAACGAAGAAGGUCUUCGGAUUGUAAAGUUCUGUUGUUGAGGAAGAAUGUGCCUUAUAGGGAAUGAUAAGGUAAUGACGGUACUCAAUUAGAAAGCCACGGCUAACUACGUGCCAGCCGCCGCAGUAAGAC